rnacentral:rRNA from 1 species
CCUACGGGGGGCAGCAGUGGGGGAUAUUGCACAAUGGGGGGAACCCUGAUGCAGCGACGCCGCGUGGGUGAAGGAGUAUUUCGGUAUGUAAAGCCCUAUCGGCAGGGAAGAAAUUGGACGGUACCUGACUAAGAAGCCCUGGCUAACUACGUGCCAGCAGCCGCGGUAAUACGUAGGGGGCAAGCGUUAUCCGGAUUCACUGGGUGUAAAGGGAGCGUAGACGGCCAUGCAAGCCAGGGGUGAAAGCCCGGGGCCCAACCCCGGGACUGCCCUUGGAACUGCAUGGCUGGAGUGCGGGAGGGGCAGGCGGAAUUCCUGGUGUAGCGGUGAAAUGCGUAGAUAUCAGGAGGAACACCGGCGGCGAAGGCGGCCUGCUGGACCGCGACUGACGUUGAGGCUCGAAAGUGUGGGGAGCGAACAGGAUUAGAUACCCUAGUAGUC